GCAGCAUCUAAAAUCUUGGAAACCGACUGUGGAGGGAAGGCAACACCAAUUACCAACUCCUUACGACACACCACUCAAAGGAAACAGAAGUGGAAUUUACUCCCAAUGAAAGCUACUCUGCAGUUGAAGAUUAUUUAAUCUUCAUCUCCACAGAGAUGAGAACUUGAAGAACCAGAACAGUUGUGUCAUUUCACCAUAAAAACUGCACCUAGCCAAGGGAGAACCUCCAGAUGGCACUUGGGGGUUUUUGUCUUCUUUGGUAACACAAGAGAACCUGGUCACACACCUUUCAAAGCUGCUCCCAACAAGAGCUCGUGACAGUGCUCGCCCAUCCUCAGGCAGGACUCACCCUGUCGGCCGUGGCGUUGCUGAGGAUCAUCUCCUGAACGCUGUUGUAGUAUUUUGGGGAACACAGCCUGCCAGGAGCAACGUUCACAGCCACGGAGAGAGCCAGGCUCCGGCCGUGCCUCACCAUCCAGUCGAUGCCAGACACGUCUGCUGCAGAGGAAAGAAGAGAACUAUGGCAAGUCCCCCACCAUCCAUUCCUCUUCAUCUGAGGAGGCUUCUGGCAGUUUGUCAAUUCACUGCCAUAAAAUGAAAAAACAAGAAGCAUCUAAAGGGGUGCCUUGAUUCCUUCACUCCUCCCAAAAAGAGCUAAAACACAACACCUGUACCAGGCAGGAACAGCACCUGGGCAGACAGGGAAGCACACACAAACAAGGGACUCUCUUGUUCAACUCAAGUACUUCUGAUGGUUGCAAAAUUAUACAGGCUUUGACUCUCUAAUAAAAUUGUAAAAGUCAUUUGUAAUUUGAUACCAGUUAACAGAUUCCCUUUUUAAUCUCACAGGGGAGAGUGAUCCGUAGCACUCCCAAACAAUAUGAGUUCCUAUAAAAUUUGUGGUUUUUUUCUAACUUGGACACAAAUCGGUCAGUUCUUCAGAAGCAUGUGAAGCCACCACGUGUGGUCUGCAAUUACCAUGAGCCAAAAGGUGGGAUGGCCCUCCUGUCCACCCUUGCCUGAACAUCCUGUCACCUCCCACCCUCUCUGUGUCAGCACCAGAAAUUACUCAGCCAUGUUGGUACUUUUAUCAAGUCAUCUGAUAACAAAUCCAGGGAAAAAAGAGUCUGGUUAUCCCCAAAUGACAACCAGUACCCUGUGCUCACUGUGUACCAGGGUGCACAAAUUAACAGCCACGGGUAAAGAAACGCACAAGAAAAUACAGAGCAGAGAUUCAGUCCCAAAGCCUGAACCAGGGGCUGAGAAGGAAUCUUGCCUGCUUUCAGAAUCAGUUCCAGUCCCUGUGAACAGCUUCACCUACCCAGUAAGUGCUGGUGGAGAACAGUGCUGAGCUCCUCGUCCGACAGGAACGCGCACAGCUCCGCGAGGCAGCCGGCCGAGGCCAUGCGGGUGGCGUCCUGAGGGGGAAUGGGAGAGCAGGAACACGGGUUCAGCUCAACACACCAGGGACAGGCAGCAAGCAGAGCAAGUGCCAGAAGAUGACAGGAAACAAAAAGAGAAGGAGGAAAUAAAUAGUAGUAUUUCACUCCUAAUCCCUGUGGAUUUCUGUCAGUUCACAAGGUUUUUUUUACAUAAUGGAACUUAAAGCCAAAUCCAUGGUCAAAAAAGCCAGCAGAGACUGAAGAAUUACAGAUCUUAUCUAAGUUCUGAUUUGUUAAAUGGAAAAGUCAUAAAGAUGAAAGUGAAUGUUUUAAAAGAUGUGUUCACAAGAGUUUACUUUAGAUUCACUUACUAUAAGUGUUACUUCUAGCCAUCUCUGGAUGAGCUCAUCUCUGUGAUAAACUCUUACUACUUUUAAUUUAACACUCCCAGGCUGUUGUUAUUUUGGCUUCCUUAUGUGACGAUCCCAUUACUGAUCUUCUCACUGAAACUUACAACCCAAUGGGAAUGUUUCAAUUUUUCUAUUUCUAGAAUGUCAACAGUUGCAUGUCUGUUGCACUGACUGACAUAAGAAAGAAAUUAUUAGAUGAUUAAUUUUAAUCUCACAGAUGUUACUGUUGCUAUCUGUCAUAUAAAAAAGACCCUAUAUUAAACUUGGAGAGCUUCUUGCUUGUUGGAGAAAAAUCUGCCAUUAUCUGAAAAAUUUCUCACACUAAACAAUAAACCCCAGCUGAGAGGCUUCAAACACACAUCCGUGCUCACAGGGAGGGUACUGCAGGUUUUCUCCAAGAUAAAAAGCAAAUCCUGACUGUAGAGCUGGCUCAAACCUGUUGGUGAGGAGCUACAGGUCAAACCCACAUAAGCAGUUGCCAAGGAAACAUUAAACUGGCAGAUUUUCAGAGUUACUAGGGACUGGGCCAGGGAUCUCCAAUUCUUGCUCCUGACUACAUCAUUAGGAAUUUCCUCGGAAGUUAUUUUAGAAAAUAACUCUGUUAGAAGGUUCAGAUCUUAAAUGUAAGAGAAAGACUGUCUGCAGCAGGGGUCCUUCCUCUGCAGCUGGCUGAAGCAGUACCUCAUCGUGUCCCAGCAUCCCCAGAAGCACCGUGCUGAUAUUCUUCCUAAUUGCAGCAUCGACUUUUGCACCAGCUCCUCGUGUCACAAACCGCAGCGCUUGCAGCAUCGUGUCCCUGGAAGAGAAAUUUUGCUCUGGAUACCUGCAGCAAAUUCUUGCACAGCAAUUACACUGAUAUGCCUUACAGUUUGGGAGACUGAUCCUCUCUGUGCACUGCUGAAAACUCCAUCCUAGAGAGUACUUCCAUGUUUCUGUACUUGUGUCUGUCUGUUACACCAUAGAUAUUUUCUGACUGUUCAAACAUUAAAAAAAUUCUCAAGUCAGGAAGUCCAUGUCUUAGGGCUGUGUGCCCUUAGGAUACUAGAACAGCUGCAUUACUUCAGGUCAGACUGGCAGUUGAUAGUGUCUUUUAUCUGAAAGUGGGCUGCUGGGGGUGCCCAGGAGAGAGGAGAAGGGGGGAGGACACCAAGGACUGCUUCUCCCAAACACACUCACAGCUCAGCUUCUGACCCAGGCAGGCUCCAUCAUCCACACUUUUCACAACCCUGGGAUAACAGGUAACUGCUUUCACUAACAUGUUACUCUCAGAAUUGGGGGUUUUGUUCAUCCAUCCCAGCCCUUUCUUUCACCCUUAGUCAGCAGUAAAAUCUGAGCCAUCAGCUGCAGCUUACCUGAUGGCAGAGUCAUCGCUGGAACGAAUUCCAUUCAGGAGCUCCGUAAAGAGAGGAUCCACUUUGACGUGGAUGACAAUGAGUUUGCCGAGAGCAUCGGCAGCUUUAAGACGAACAGCACGGUUUGAGUCUUGUAGAGCUUUGGUGAAGGUUGUUUGCAACUGGGGCAAAAAUGGUUUCAGGGCAAUCUCAACCUAUUCCAGAGAUGGAAAAAUGGGAAGUGGUGGGGUCAAGUCUGAAACAGCAGCUGGAGAUCAAAGCCUGGAAACAGCAUGACCUCUACUACAGCAGUUUGUUAUCAGAGAGCCCCUGUUAGAUCUAAUGUGCUACUAAAAGAGGAAAAACAUGAAACAAUAAUUUACCACAAAACCAUUAACCUUUUCAAAUUUAAUCUUAUUUUCUGCAUACUGAAACACAAGGGUAACGCUGAGAGAUUUUACAGUCAUGAACAGCCUUUUGUAUACAGAGCACUGAAUAAAAGCUCAGCUUAGUUCAAAGAUACAUAAGAUCUUUGCACUUAACAAUUCAUAAAAAUGGUGGACACAGGAGAGAUUAAUUACAUGGAGGGCUUUAAUCACUGGAAAGUGGGAUCAGCAUUUAGCAAUAUUUAUAAAAAAGACCAGUAAUUCAGCACUGGGGGCUCUUUUGGUAGGCCAGAAGCUGCUGGAAGAAUGCAAUCCAGUUACAGUGCUAUCCCUAAAUAUCAAAUCCACAGCAGCAGGCAUCCCAGCUGUAUUUACAUGAACAGCAACAGAUAUUUCUGAAGGUUAUCAUGGAAAAUGUUCACAAACCACCAAUACUUUGAAUCUUACCUUAGCUAAAAGCAGGCUUAAUGUUUCAAGCAGAGCCACCUUGACAUUCCAGCUGAACCGAUCUCCCAAAAUUCGAAUAAGCGGCCCAGUGAUGCUCACCACAGAUGGUUUAAGAGCUUCAGCAGAAGUCAGCUUAAUAACCAGCCCUAAGGCCUUUGCUGCCUCCUCCUUCUGCUCUGGAUUACCAGUUAAAACACCUUCUCGCAGCACCACGAGUAUUGAAGUCACUCCCUGUCACGAAAAUCAGAUAAGAAAGCUUAGAAGCUAAGAUGCAAAAAAUAUGUACCUUAUUUUUGCUCUCAUUAUGCACCAGAUGCACAAACUUGGAGGGUUUCUCUCAAUUUCCUGUUGACCUUCAGCUGCCUGAUUCCACAUUGACAGACCUACUUUUACUUGGUUUGAUUUCAUGCCUCUCUGCCUUACUAAGCCAGUUGCUAUGAGGAAAGUGGUGGCAGCUCAGGGAAUUUUUAAACCAGACAAAUUUGGCACAGAAGUCCAGUGUUACUCGCCCACAAAAAGCAGCCAGUGACCAUGACUUACAUGCAUAACAGAAUUGUCAGAGACCUCAUUACAAGAGGACUCUUCUGGAGGGUAACUCAGGAGAGCUGUAACCUACAAAAAGUCUCUCCAACACACAGGUUUGGAAUGCCCAAAUAGCUGCUGCUUCUAAGAGCUGUAAAGUCAUAUCAGUCAGCUCUCCCCAGAGGUGGGUGUCUUGUGGCUGUGAUGAAUCCACAUCCAUUCUGAUCCUUUACCUUCUUAGGAAUACAGAAUCCCGGCACAUGGUCCCCCUUGGCCUCAUUCCCUACAAUCCGGAUAUCCCUGUGCAGGUCCUCAAUGAGAGCAAGCUGGUUCCCAGCAUCUAAUUUCUGCAGAACAGAGGGAAGAGACAAAGAUGAGGCAACAUGGCAUCCAUGUUCUUUGUGAAGUCUUCUUGGGCCAGGCAUUACCCUGACACCUUUUCAAGAUGCCUCUCACCUUGGUGAUGGAAUUAAGCGCAUCCCAGCUUUCAUUCAGAACCACAGGGUUGGUGUCAUUAAACAGACGAAUCAAGCCCGAAACCAAGCUCCUGAGAUGACCAGUGUAGUCUGCUUUUGUCUUGGAGCAGUAGAUAUUCAGCAUGACAGCUGCUGCCUGUCUCAUGCCCAGCUCAGGGCUGCGGGUAGCUUCUAGCAAAUCUUCAGUUAUAAUUCUUUGUCCAACAUCAUCUUCCACAGACAGGAUUACAGACUGGCAGUUUGCCAUCUCCUGAAGAGUCCCAAUUAACUUUACAUUAGCUCUCAAACAGAACAGAUUUAGCCCCAGCAUUUUCUCUUAGAGAAAUACUACAACACACCUCACUUGCUAAUUGUUUCUCAUUAAAUAGCUGCUAACAUCACCACUAAAAGCUUGUCUCAGUCCUGGAGCAGACAUAGGUUUAUGACCAAUUCUUAACAUUUACCAAGUGACCAAACUCUGCUGCACCAGCUACAGGAGGGCUAAUUUACAAAAAUUAAGAGUAGUUCAGUCUUCCCCAUCUUACUCAUCCAAGACAGACUGUGAGUCUUGUCAGAUAACAUUCUUCUGAUUUAGGUAGUUUAAUGCUGUGAGUCAUAACACUAAUUACAAGCACAUCUGUGGGUACAUGAGAGAUCUCCAGGCAGACUUGGGGCUAGAAGCUGAUCUAAUGGUUAUCCGUGGCAGACAGACAACAGGACUCUGUCACUCAUUCCUAAUUCACUGACUGAUUAUGUACAUGUCUGUCCGCAGUCACAACUCCAGGAUGUUCUCUGGAGUCCAAACACCAGAUGUUUUGGAAAGCAGUACAGGAGGAGUGCUGCAUGCAAAACAGGAGAUUUCCUUCCUGCAGCCCUUUAAUCUCUCAGUCUUCUACACCAAGAAUAAAUAUGAAGUUAACUAGACACUCUGGCAGUUCUCCAGGAAUAAGUAAACUGAGAAUUGUGUCUUGUAGCAGGCCAAAGAGACUUUUAAAUGGAUACAAAUAGAUUUGGAAAGCAUACGUUUUUUGACUCACAAUAUGCCACCAGGCAAAAAGACUCAUCCUGGAGAAGCUAAUGGACUGAAUUAAACAUGCAAUCUGUGAAUCUAGAGAACACAGAUUCUGGGCUGGGAAGUAAACCUGAUGCACUAUGUUCAGGCAACCUGUCACAACAAAGAGCUGAGCUGUGCUACUUGCCAAUUGCUCUUCACUGGUGCCCAGCUUCUCUUUGAGUGCAGACAUCAUGGCAGGCAGGAUGACACUCAAGUGCCGUGUCAGAGCGUCCCCUGCCACUGAGGAGAGGAAAGCCAGCACACGGGUGUUCACUGGAGGGGUAGUCAGCUACAAAACCCAAAAAAAUAACACCAAAAAAAUGAGACAAAGUUAUUUCAGAAGGAAUCUCACUUCAUCUACAACAUGAAAAAUUUAUGCAUCGCAACCCAAAUUACAAUGUUUUGAGCUUAAAAUCAGAAGAAAAUUUCAAAUUAUGAUCUUCCUUUUGCCAUAUUGGUCCAAAGAAAACUGGCAGCAAGCAGAGGAAACAGCACAGAUAUGAAGUUAAGAAUUUGUUUCCCGUUGUACCUUUGGCACCAAGUAAGGCAGCACCACACGGCUCUUGACAGCCAUAACUUGUUUAAGACCAUCCACAGCAAAGUCAGCUGUCUCUUCAUUAUCCUACAGGGAAAGAGAAAGUAACAAACCUGAGAAAUUAUCUGUGACACACUGAGUUAAACCCUGUUUCAAGGGACAAUUUACCCUGUGAUCAUAUAACCAAAACCAAGCCCUUCUAUUGAAAAAUGUUCUCUUACUACAUAGCAAGACCAAAACCACACUCUUCUGUCACAUUAGAAAGAUUUUCCAUUUCAGGCAUAGUGGCCAAGCAACUUAAGCAGAUGACAAUGGCAAUUCCAUAGCACAGCCAGGUGUAGCAACUUUUAGGCCUAAGCUUUAGCCACAAGAUCCUUCCUACCAAUGGCUAGGAUGACUCCAUGGAGGAGACAAAAUAUCGCUGCCAUUCCCUGGAAGGUCUGCCUCUAAAAUCCUCCUUCUCCUUUAAGUAAAUUAUUCAAAACUUGUCCCACAGCAUCAUUAAUCAGGUUGUUGACUAAUGCUGAGCAAUGCUCACCAGCUGCUUCAGCAAGAAGGGCAGGAUGUCUUCAAGAGCCUGAUGGCCAAUUGUUGAGUGCAGCUGUUCAAAUGUUUUGGCUGCAGCCUCACGGACUUCUUCCAGGGGGUCACACAGUGCUUUUCUCACUGUAGGAACCAGGGACUCGGAGAAAAGCAGAACCUGAAGAGGUAAAAUUACAGAAUUCCUAAAGCACAACAGUCACAUUUAUCCUAGUGAAGUGGCUGAGAAUGCAGAAUUUGCACAACUGAAACUAAAUUGCAGUUUAAUUGAAAUAUAUUGGCAGACAAGCAGAGUUACUCAGUACAAACAAGCUGCAGUGCUCUAAGGCUACCUAGUGGAAGAUUUUCAUAUAAGUCAGAACUGUGCAAUGUUAGACUUUACCAACAGAUACAAAUCCAUACAUUUGCCUGAACAGCAACUCAGUGUAGUUAUAAGCCCUGAAUUCAGUCCACAGAACAAGUCCAGCACUAUGUGUAUUAUUCUGUCUGAAGUGCAGUACCUGCACCAUAACAUAAAUACCUUGGAAACUGAGAAUUUCCCCCUGGAACAUCUAACUCACCGCAUCCCUGCUGGUCGAUUUCAUGAUCUCGCUCAACCCGAUGCAGACUCCUUGUCUCUCAUCACUCUUGUCUGACUUCAGCCCAUCUUCCAGGAUAGGAAUGAUUUCAGGAAGGAUCUUCUCUCCUAACUUUCGGACAAGGUCUCCUAAUGUCCGUGCUGCAACCUGUCCCCAGAAAUGUAUUAAUUAACUAUUCUCCUUUUUAUAAAACUUAAGAAGGUGAAACUUAAGCAAAUGUUAACUUCUGAUCAUAACCUACUGUUCACAGUACGAACAGAAACACUACUAUUACAAAUAACCACAGAAAAAUUAGUUUUACUCUCAUCACAGUUGCCUUCAGCAAACACAGAACUCAGACAUGCUCAUGCUCAGAACACUUAAAGUGGUGACAGCUUUGAAGUGAUUUAUCCUGUGUUCCUCAGGAAUCAGUUUCUAGAGUCACCUGCAGAAAGAGGAAGGUGCAACUCCAUUUCUCACCGUUCGCUUAUCUGCACAAGUACUGGCCAGGAAUUUCAGCAGAAGCCCAAAGAGUGUUGGCAAAAUUUCACGCAGCGUGCGAGGAGUGUUUGAGACAACAAUCUUCCAGACAUGCAGGGAGGCCUGGCGCACCACCAGCUGGGUGUCAGAGCGGCCCAUGUACAGCCCUGCCAGCACCCUGUUCCUCCUCUCCACUCCCAGAGCAUUAAUAAUAGCCUGAAAAGAAAUAGCAUAAAUUGUAUUAUCCACUCAUGAAACUUACAAAAAUACAUGAUUACUCAAUCUGUCUUUCCAGCAGGCUUUCCAUGCUGAUUUAAAAUAAGAAAAUUAAAAAAGAAAUAAAAGCACAACACACAAGAACAGCUUUACCUUGUUUGACUGGGCUGUUCCAAAGUUGUCAUCCUCUGAGGCAGUUUCUGUGGUCAUUUUUCCAGUGACUCCUGAGAUAUGGAAUAGAAGAUCUCCAAGGAGCUGAACUGAGCUAAACCUGCCAAGAGGAGCAAGUCAGGUGUUACAAACAGGGCACUCAGGUGGUACCUGUCAAAAUCUGACAGGACAUCAGCUACAGAUGGGAGCCAAAUGUGAGGCAGAGCUGUGUCAGCACUGAAACACUGCACAGGCUGAUGUGUAGCACCAGUCUGCCAACAUGGCUGAAAGCAGCAUGCUAAAGAGAAAGGGAAGGAAUGAAUUCCAAACUGGAAAGGCUGGGAGAAUUUCCAAAUCAAAGCAACGGAUCUGAGAAUGGCCUGGCUUCUAAAAAGGAGCAAGACAUUGCCAGCAUCUGUCUCAACCCAAAUGACAUUCACCUGGGGUAACAGCACUUAGCAGCACUCAGCUGACACAAAUCAUUUAGUGCAACUAAUUUUUGAGCAACUACUAUCAGCUGUGAGUGCUCCACUGCACAUUUCCAUACACAGGAGAACAAUAACUUACUCAGCAUUUGGAAAAAUGAAAAACAAUACAUGAGGGCUAAAUAUUGCCAAAUCAACUGCCUUGGAAGUGCAUUUCAGUCACCACCAGAAUUAAUAAUCCAGCAGGGAUACUCUGCAGGUAUCUGGAAACCUGAUCCAGGCUGGCAGGGCUUUGCAGCCUCAGUGUUAUAAGGCAUCAUACUCGAAUCAACAAGCAAAAAGACGCACUUGAUUUUGCUUCCUGGGAGGUUCUCUGCUUUUCCUUGAGGAGCAAUGCAGAGUCUAAAUCACACUAGCUUUUCAUCCAUGGAAAAGAAAUGUCUGUGGAUAAGCUGGUUAUCCCUUACCUUAUCCUCCAGAGGUCAUCAAACAGGCCAUCCUCGAGCUGGGGCAGGAGCAGCGCGAUGGCUGUCUCGGCGUACAUGCUGAUGAUGCGCUGCCCCGCCCGCAGCGCCGUGUCCCGCACGAACUCGUUCUCGUCUGCCAGAGCCUGAACACAGACACAAAAGGGGCUCUGAAAACUGGGGGGGGUUCAGCACAAUACACAAAAGCUACAGGAGGAAAACAAACCUAUGUUUUUCUCUCUCGGCCGUGAAAAGCAAAUGAACUGGGGAGUUGUGAAUGCACAAAGGUGAUUUCAAGAAAUGGCUGGUGACUACAAACGAAAGACAGCAAGCAAACAACUUGGAAGAAAAAAUAAUUUUUAUAAUUUAAAUUCCCCCUUUUUUCUGACAUGUCCCACAGUUUCUGGAAAUGAUACUUAAAAACACUCUGGAGACUUUUUUUUAAUCCUUUAAUAAAUAAAAUUCUUCAUGUCUGCUACAUACCUUAAGGAUACAAGGAAUGAUGGGUCCAACAUAGGGAGUGAACUUAUCUCCAAAGGUAAUUGGCAGGUAGUUGAACAUCAUGAUAUAACCAUCUCGUACAUGUGGAGCAAUAUCCACUUUACUGGCAGUAGCUACAAUCUCUGGCAUAAGUUUCUCCAGCUUUUCUACCCCCAAACCAGCCAUAACUUCAGCCAGACCUGAGGAAAAAAAGCAGGGAACAGAGCUGAUACACACGAGAAACAAGCAGCUCAUCUGGUUUAAUAGGAGAUUCAGACAUGGCUGUCCCCACCUUGAGCAGCACCAGAGCGAUCCACUGAGCUCUGCUCAUAUGUCAGUGUCUCCAUCAGCCACGGCAACAAAUCCUCAAAGCACGACUCUCCCAUCCCCUUCACCAUGGCUCCCAGUGCCUUUGCAGACACUGUGCGCACCUACAGACAAGAGAAACAGAGAUCUGCAACACACCCUCUCAGAGUUCCUACAACAGAUGUGUCAGACUGGUUAGGGCAAUGUCCAACCUAAUGCACUGAAAGAAAAACUUUGUACUAAAGGCUUACCUCAGGAACAGGAUCCAGCAGAGAUGCUUUCAGUCCAGGAGUCACACUGGGCAGGUAUGGAGCCAGAUCCUGAAACAAAGAACCCAGAGAGUAAGAACCAGAUUCAAAAUGAAGAAAACCAUAAGUCACCUUCUUGUAAAGGACAUUCACCCCUUAUUAUUAGCAAACAUCCCUAGUAUCCUGAGAGUUUAAUCAGUUGCUUUCACAAUCCUGCAAAUUAGCACAGUGAGUUGUUCUGCAAGUCCAAGAAACACCACCAGUUCUGUACAAAUCAAAACCUUUUCUAUGCUCACUCACAACCCAGCACUUUCUGUCUAAGGAAAAUCCAACUCUGUUAACAUUUACACAAGGUUUAAAUGUAGAGAUUAUCAGCACAAAAAUUAAACAUAGAUCUUAAGCCUACAUUCAGGUCCUACAAAUACUUUUCAAACAAACCCUGGAUCCAUUUGUAAGCAGCUGAUCUGUGCUUCACUUGUUUGUUUGUUAAGGCAUUUCUUAUAUAGUAAAAAUUACAAGACCUUUUUGCAGGGAUAAAUAUGGUACUAACUAGGUGACCAAAGCACAGAGCAGACAGUCUUAAGCAUCUGAGAACUGUCACUGUCUUUAGUCAUGAUCUGUUCAUUUAUAUACAUUUAAUUAAACAAUCUGCAUGGAUGCUAAUAUUUUCUACCUUAACAGGAAAAUCUCCAAGCCAAAUAAAUUCUCUCUAGGGCUUGCCUGUCAUCCCCUACCAGUAAUGUAUUAGAGUAAUACAGUUAGAGAGCAUUUUUAGCACCACACCUUCUGGUCAGUCAGGGAGUACAUGUUCCCAAUGAUCUGGGCAGCCAUUUUCCUGGUGUCUGUGGAACGAUCUUGAAAAGCUCUCUGAACAAUUGGCAUGAUCAGUGCUAAGGAUGGAGCAUCAAUGAAAUGGACAAAUUUGGUAUCCAGCAGAGUCUGCAGACACUUCUGGGUCUUCCUGGAGGGGUCAGUGAGAGCAUCCAACAGAACUGGAGCGAUUGCUGAACAUUUUUUAAAGGGAGAGAAAAAACUUUAUUUGUACCUAACCAAACACGCAUUGUCAGGCUGAGCUGGUGUUCUCUCAUAGGAUGUUUCAGAUCAUUCUAAAGGAACCAGCAGCACAGGGACAGAGGAAACCCUAUUAACACCAGCUGACAAAAGGGACAGGAGCAUUUAAAAAGCCUGGAAGCAGACAAGCUGUCAAGCUUGCAUGUUAUACUCCCAUAGGAGUAGUUUAAUUUCUAUAUGAAUUUGCAUUUGAACCUAAAUCUUGCUGUUAUAAACCACUGUCAUGUCAGGACAUUAGAGAUGCAGGCAGUUCUUACCCAGGAUCUCUGGGUUCCUGAUGACAGACCCAAUCUGCCUGAGAGCCUGCUGCCCUGCAUUCUGCACCUUCACGUGGGAAUCUGUCAGCACUUCAGUGAGUUUGGGCACGAUGUUGGGUAAGCAGGAAGAGAGCUGUUUGGGAGCACAGUAUGCCAUAGCCCCCAGCAGUUCCACUGAGCCUGUGCACAAAGUACACAAAAAAAAAUGAAAAAAGACAAGACAAAACACAAAACAAUACACAGCAUUAAGAAUCGAUAUGAGAAGAUAAUCACAUUUAUCUCAAAUUCAAAUCUACCAGUUGGAGAACACAAAGAAAGGCUGAAAUGCAUCAAGCCACUCUGUGACACCUAAAGACACUAAAAAAUACUUUUUUUUCUUUUGUACUCGGUAAAAGAAGUGUGGGAGGAAAAUUCCAGGUUCUGGUGUACUUCUAUAGAGACAGAAGUACAAACUGUCCCUGCAAUAUGCUGAGGGGAAAAAAGGUUGCCCAAAUGUGUCAGAGAACUCAUUUGUAUCUCAAGAGCUCUAAAAGUUCCACAGAUAAUAAACCAUCGCAGCCAUCUGUAGGGAUGAGGGGAAUGACAGAGAAGGGCACUGUGAGUUAGUCUCAUCUUGUCAGUCAGAUAUUGCUCCAUACCAGCUUUAGUUCUCCAAGAUUCCUCUUCUAGGGCUGCGAGAAGUGAUGGCAAAACCAGCUUCACUCCAUGAGUACUCAGAUUGCUCAUCACGGCUUUGGCACAGUCAUCUGCAGCCUCCAAGGAGAAGAGAACACUCACAAACUGUGACACAACACGUGUUUUUUCCCUUCCUCUGAGACUCACUGGGAACAAAGCCUUCAUGUAAAUAGUGUCUCAGUACAAUGAUGCAGCUGGCUAAGUAGCUCCCAAUUAAUGGCCAACGAAAUCAGAUGCUUCCAGUUAUUAAGAAGAUCAAAUUGUUAUUAGUGGUAUCUCAAGGGAUAGGUCAUCUUCUCAAUUUGCCUGGUUACAAACAGGAUUCAUAACCAUUCCAUUUGUUUUUCUCUUAAUGCUCUGUGAUUGCAGAAAGUGAAGGCGCUUACCUCUCGCACGUACUGGUUCCCAUCUCCAAAACAAAGGAGCAAGUGAGGCAGCACAUGAACCACAUAGGGCUCAAAGAGCUUCCCAAGCAUGCUACAGAGCAUCUCGAAGGCAAACAGAGCCCCUAAAAACCCAAAAAGCACAGUCAGAGGAAAACACAACUUCAUAUAAAGCGGAUGGAAAAAGAAAAUUGUUUGCAAAAUAUCUGACAAUUCCUCCGGAAGCACUUAAAACCUCACAGCUUAAAGUCUCUUGCUUUCUUGCCCUUGUGGCUUGUGCUGUAGUGGGGAUUUGUGACCUCAGAAAAGGAGCCCCCCCAGCAAAACCUGCCUCUGAAAACAGGAGGGAGGGGCACAUGUGUAUGGUCUAGCACCAGAAACCCUUCUUCCACCACGAUGUGAACAGAGCAAUUUUAUGGCCUCAAAACAGUCACUUCCCAUUUCUUUCUCUUCAAACUUUAGUAAAAUAAAUGUAGCUAAGCCAAGCACAAGGGUGCAGGCACUUCAUCUGACCAGAGUGGUAGUGGGUACAGAGAAAUAUCGGGUAUCUGGAGGGAAAAGCUUUUGUCCCUUACCCUCCCGCCGGCGGAAGUUCUUCUUGUCCUGGAUGGCGUCGGUCAGCGUGGUCAUCAUCUCCUGCUGCUUGAGAGACAGGAUGCCCAGGCCUUUGACCAGCCCUGCCAGCCCAUAGGCUGCACCUUUGCGCUCAGCGUACUUAUCAGACUCCAGAAGCAGCUGCAUCAGCUUCUGGAUCAUUCCUCCUGCGUCCUCCUUAAUGGCAGGCACCAGAGGCGGUAAACAGCUUGCCACUGACUCUUGAACCUGUAAAACAAUCCACCAGCCAUCAGACCACUAAAUAUUCAUCACUAACAUAACUCCCCCCUAGACUGCACCCCCAAUGACACCUUUCUGUCACCAGAACCAUUUUUCAUCUCUCUGACAUCCCUAAAAGUAUCCUAGUGUUAAACUGCCUCUGUGGGGAACCUGAGAACUCCUCCCAGAAGGCACCUACCUGCUGAGAUGGGGUGGACAAGGCUGCUAUAAGUUUGCCAACAAUUGGUUUCACUUUAGGGUCACUCUUGUCCAGAUGUUUUGCCAGUGACCCCAUCAGAAUGACCACGCUUUGCCUGACAGCAUCAUAGCUGGCAUCAUUAGGAGCAUUUUUCAGGAAUUCUUCAAACACUGGCAAGAGAGAGUUAACAUUGUCCUGAAAAACAAAACCACAGAACUUGCCACUAGAGUCCACUCAGAAUGAGAUUUGCUAUGCUCAGUGGACUUGUUUGUUCUUCUCUGAGCCAACAACUGAACAAUCACACUGUAUUUACAGUUCAUUUCAUGUGUCACAUCGCAUAAAACCUUGUGCCAUCCCAAUAGGCAACAAAUAUUUCCUGCUAGAGAGAAGUCAGCUCUUCAAAAUUAGAUUCCCCAAGCCUGCCAGCAUGAUAUUCUGCCAGAAGCAAUGCAAGCUCCCGGGCCUGAGCAUCAGUGCCUGCUCCUCUGCUUGCCCCAUUUGCAAAGGGAGAGCAGAAACACCAAACAAACUUCACACAGUUUUUCUAAGAAACAGAAGGAAAGAACGAAUAAUAUGAAAAUACCCAGAUUGUCUUGGGCUAAACAGGAAUACAGACCUUUGUCCAGAGGUGACUGGCAAGUAUAAGGAAAUUAGAAGCUGAGCAAUUCCCACCCUGCACACCUCCCCCAUGUGACACUGCUUGGAAAGGGCUGGCAGGGAGAAGGAUGGUCCUCAGUUCCCUCAACAACUUCAGCUGUUUUCAGUUUAAUUAAGCCAACAAUCGGCAAGCUUUCAUGUUUUGCUUCACAUGAAGCCUGAAAAGGAAUUCUCAUCUUCCCAGUAUUAAAAGAUCCAUGGUCUGAUUUCACUUUUAUUACUCUAGUUUUAUACCAUUUCAAAUCCAGUUGAUUCAAGGGUAUUUCUUUUUUAUAGCAAUGACAGGGAAGAACCACACUUAGUCAACACUAACAGAACAACUCUGAACACACAAAAACUCCUAAAUGAAGUUUUCAGCUGUUACAAGUAAUGGCAACCUCUAAGAAAGUUGAAAAAAAAAUUUUUUAAAAAUAAAAUCUGUGGGCUCCAAGACACUAUCUACAUUUUCAUCACAUCUUUGUUCCACUGCUAGAGAAAGAAAUGUUCAGACUUACUUUGCCAUGAGUGUUGAGCGUUGAAAGAGCUGCAUCUAACAUGCACUUCCUGACCUCAGGACUGCGAUCAUUCAGAGCAUCCGGCACAAAAAACUGAAAGAGGGGCUUCACCUGAGAACUGUCCAGAUGCUCUGAGAGCUUGUUGAGAGCCAGAGCUAUGCCACACCUGUGAAGAUGGUGAGCCUGUAAGCUUACUGACUUUUCACAGAAUUUACUUGAGCUCACAAUCACAUUUGCUAUCAGCAGUACAUUAAAAAAUUGAGAGAGAACGAGCCAUAAUGAAAACAAAGAGCCUCAGAGUGUCCAACCUCUGUGUAUCUCAUUAAUAACCCCAUGCUGCAGCCUCCCAAAAGGUCAACAAUCCCUCAGCCAUAGAAGGACUUUUAUCUCGAUUACGCAUUACAGAUACUUGAGCCAUCUUAGACAUCAGGAUCACCUCAUCUGCUGCUGAAAUACAGCAGCUUUACAAGGUACAUCAGACUAAAGGACAGAUUAGCUCAAGACAAGAAGCAAACAAGAUGAUCUCCAAUUAAACCUGUAUUGUACACAAGUAAACAAAAAGUUAAUUAUCCAAACUGGAAUUCAUCCAGUUCAUUAAGGUUUGCACUGCUGCUCUUGAACUAAUCAAUGGCCCAUACAGAGGUGAGGACACAGUAAGAUAAGACAAAAAUCAGACAGUCUGAGAGAAAGACUGUUCUUAUUAGGACAAAGAGAAGACAGGAUCCAGUAUUUUGAUGGAACUAAAACCAUUUCAGUUCUGCCUGCCCAGUCUGCUUGAGUGGCACAAAUAUUCUCUACCAGAAGGACACGUGAAACCAGCAUUUCAACACAAUUGGGUAUAAUUUGUUCUUCUAAAUAAAAAUCAAAAAUUCUCAUUUAGACGCACAGGAAAUGAUGAGCUCAAUCUGAAGAUGACUGUACCUUGCUUCCCACUGGUCAGGUGGUGAUUCAGAUAUCACUCGUCCCAAAGCAUCCAAAACUGGAGGUGGCCUCUGGAAGGAAAAAAAUUUCAUCAGAAUUCCUUUUCCAAGGAUGGGGACACAGAGGAUCUGUCAGCCAUAGCUGCAGUGCCAUUUGAUAAUACUGCACAGAGGUAUGAUACCACUACCAGAAGAGCACAGUAAAAAAACAAGAAGAAAGUUUAGACCCCAAAUGACUUAAACUGACCCUGCCCUGUCACAGCCUUCCUGGACCACCUAAGGCACACCUUCCUUCAGUACAGUGGUGCUAUUGCUGGUGCAAGACACUGAAGUCUGUGAGAAGCUCAAACACAGCAGCAGUAGGCUCAAUGCACAUCUUCAAGAGAGACGAAAGGAAAAGCAACAAAAAAUACAAAGCACGAGCUCGUGCCUGUCAAUCCCUUAGGACAAGAGUACUUACAUAGAGCUUCUCCUGGUAAAUCUCCGUGAGUUUGCUCAUGACCUCUGCUGCUUGCUUUCGGUACUGAGCUACAGCUCUGGAAAGAGCUUCAGCCCCUGCUUGUCUCACUGCCUCUUCGUGGUAGAUGACAUCUUUGAUCAGCAGAGAACAGAGGUCAGGCUGCAGCUCCAGCCCCAUGGACUCCCACAGCCUGCAGGGCACAGAGAGAGGUGAUGGGUCACCCUUCAGCAAGGGUACUACACGUAGUAUCGAGGUGGCCUAGAGCUCCAGCUGCAGGGGCAAAGUCCUGCAGUGCAGCUCACUGAGGUGAGCAGAGGAGAGAUCCCCUUAAAAAUCAGCCAAGAACAACUCUCACCUCUCUGCCAGCUUCUGAAUCUCAUCUUUGACAUCAAACUUUACUACCCAGAGGCGCCGCAACAGGUUCAGUCCAUUCUUCUCAUCACUGUCUGGGGUUGGCAGAACCAUUUGUAGCUCCAUCAGUCCCUGAAUUAGUUUACAGGAGAAUCAGUGCAAGGAUCUGAUUUUCAGAAACAGAUGCUUUAAAACACUUAAAACCUUUGCCCAGUCAAGCUCUCAGUGGUUGGAAGUGUCAAAAUUCAUGUCUGCUGGUGCCUUACACUGCCUCUGCUGGUCAAGGACUUCCUAUUGCUAAUAGGUGAGCUGGUGAAACUCAGGAAUAGUGCUCCACAGGCAGGAUGCAGAGAGGCUCUGGUGACUACAGUCUUUUCUGCUUCUAAGUACAAAGACAGCUCAAGUGAGCUAAGCUGGAAUUUGUUUCAUGGCAAAGAAAAUCAAGCACCCUUGGGAUGUUUCCUUCUAUGUUCUCAGAAGUGACUAAGCUGAGGCUUUCCAAUACACACAUAGGAAUUUUCUGACAGUUUCUCUCUCUAAGACCAAGUCUAUGCAAUUGUAAAUAGAAGGUGUUAAGUUGUCCUAAUCACACCUGUUUUAAUAAAACAAAGAUGUGCAUAAACCCAGAGUACCCCUAAAUCUAGCACAAAGAGCACUGAGCAUUAUCACUCAGACUGCCCCCUCCAGCAGGCACACUACCCUAAGACUGCCAUCACAGCUGAAGCCUCUCUUCAUCAGUGUUAGAGAAGAUUCACCUCCCAAAGAUCUCAGGAAUUCGGUGUGACCCUGAAUGAUUCCACCUACCCUGAGAGCUGCAUCCCGAACGUUCAUGCAGGGAGACUGCAGGGCCUGCAGGAGCACGUCGAUCUCCUCCUGCUCGGCGUAGGCACAGCCGUCCUCCCCGCUGCUGCUCGCGCACAGCGAGGUCAGCGCCUCGGAAGCCAACACCUAAAAUGCCACGAGGAAAUAUGAGGGAUUCCACUACAACUUGUACUUCUGUCAAAGCAAGAGCAGAGUAGGGGCUGAGUGCCAUCACAGGAGGAGGAAUUCCCAAAGAACAGGGACAAAACCGAGUUCAGUCCUACUCUCUGAUUUUUAUCAUUGACCUUUCUGCCAUCUCAUCCCUUAGAACAAACCCUGAGAGGAGCCACUACUGAACUUCUUCAGCAGAGCAAGGCCUUAGAGAAGGAAACAAUGUCACCUGUGGAAGACUAAAGGAUAUGUCUCGUGCAAUAAGACCCACAGGAAAAAAAAGAUGUAUACAUUUUAUUCCAAGAUACCACAAACACAGGAGAAAAUUGGGACUGUAUCGACCACCAGCCUCAGAGACUUAAACCAGUUGAGUGCAUUUCCAUUAUUUAGGUGCUGAUGAAAGUUAGGGAGAAUCCUGAUAGUUAUGAUGCUGAGGACUCACCUGUAACCGUGGAGAACCUGUUCCUAUCACCCGGGUCAGCAGAACCAGCAUGUCCCUCCGGGGCAGCAACUCUGGGCCAUUCUGAAAAGUGAAGAUGAAAAGUUUUAUGUCUUGUGACUCUGAAGUACCUUGUCUGUGUAUGACAUUUCUUAAAAAAUCACAACCAAAACCUAGGGCUGGAUAGGUACCAAAACCUGUGACAUAAAACAAUCUCUACCUUCUUAACUUUAACUUGCAGAAUUAAUCUGCUUUGUCCAGUUUACACAUCAGUUGUUUUAUCCUAAGGCUCAUCUGAUCAACUGCUGGAUCCCCACAGCUCUCACCUCAUCCACCAGCAAUGCCUGGCCAUUUCCUGAUGAUCUCAGCUGAGCAUGGACCGUAAGGAUCUGCAGAAUCUUGACCAGGAACUCCUCCUUGUCCUCGCUGUCAUGAGGUGUCUCGGUCAUAACUGUCUUCAGGAGAGGAAAGACUAAGGAAAAUGCUGGAGCUGAUAAUGGGGCAGCACCUGUGAAAAGGAAAAACAACCCUGUGAACACAGCUGAUCCCCCCAUGGCUUUUUUAUAACACUGAUUGGUAUAAAAUGUACACUUGGGUGUGUGGCCAAGCUUCAGCCUCAUGCACAAACAUGCUGAGUGACCCUAAGUAUUGCUAUGCCCCUGCUCCAUCAGUGACUUCUGGCAUUUCAGUGCCAGGUUAAGGGUAGGACUUGAUGAUCUUAAGGAUCUUUGCCAACCUAAAUGAUUCUAUGAUUGUGUCUGGCUUUAAUUAAAGUCACAUUAGGAUUCCAAAUUACUUCCAAUGUCUCAACAGUGCAAAAAUACACAUUGUAAAUGAAAUUUAAACAAUUCAAUGGAUUAAAGUAGACAGGCAAAACUGAGGUUUUGUCUAUACUGGAAAUACUUGCAGGCAGCAGGGGAUGGGACACAAAAUCAGAUCCAUUACACAACCAAAGCUGAAAUAAAAUCUAUUUUAGUCAA